rnacentral:rRNA from 1 species
UUAAAUUUUUGAAGUUAUCUUAGCUUUUUUGUUGGGUGAAAUCAGUAUAAAGAGUUUCUUCCUCUUUUAAAAUUAAUAGGAAUUAAAAAACUUUGAUUCAAAACCAGGAUUAGAUACCCUGUUAUUCUAAGUUAUAUUUAGACAGGGUAGUAAAAGUUGUUCUUCAAACCCAAAGAUUUUGGCGGCACUUUAUCCAAAUAGAGGAGCUUGCCCCUUAAUCGAUAGUCCUCGUUUUAUCUUUCCUCUGUUUGUAGAGCUUGUAUACCGCCGUUGUCAGAUCACUUUUAGAGAACGUUUUCAAGUUAAAAGACUUUUGUACUUCAGGUCAAGGUGCAGUUUAUACAGAGGUGGAGGUGAGCUACAAUUUUCUUUAGAAAUACGGAUUUCAAGCCUUGAAGCUGGUUGAAGGUGGAUUUAUUAGUAAAGUAA